rnacentral:lncRNA from 1 species
AACAUGUCCACUGUCAUCCAAAGCAUGCAAGACCCAUGCCAGGAAGGAUGUGGGCGGUCCCCAGGAGAUGGGGGAGGGGUGGCAAACACAGAUAUGAAGAGAGGCAGUGGUCAGUAGCCCCGAAAGCAGCAGCAGAUGUCGACUGUCUCCUUGGGAGGAAGGAGAAGAAAAGGGAUGGAGAGCCCUCUGGCCCUGGAGCAGGAGAAAAUGGAAAUGUAGCAGAUGUAUAAGCUAAGCUGGAAGCUCUGCACAGAACUAGUUUGGGCCUGUCUCGGCAGGGACUUCUGCUUAUGAGUCUCCCUGCCUUACCUCCUCUGGCCAUAGCUUUGCACAGAACCAGCAGGCAAAGCACAAGUGGAGUCUGCAGAACCCAGUGGACUACAGAACGAGAGUUUGGAGGUAAAAGAUGAUAACAAACAAAUCUUACAGAAUGCAGUGACCUUGCAGACAAACAGGAACCUUUUUGGAAUAAGCUACCCAUCCUCUACUCACCCAGAAAUGGGAGCAGUAUCUUAAGAGCAAAUAGGCCAAAUGGCCACACUUCUGCCAUAUGGACUUCCCAGUUGCUAUUUCCUUUGUUGGCUCUAGCUCAAUGCCUCGGUAUGUAAGAGUUACUGCAUAUUCUGCUUUAUACUUGAUAUGAAGAGCCUUCUAAACUGAUAUGCAACUUUUGACUUAGUAACUUUAGAACCAAACCCCCAGCCCCUCAAUACUCACUGAAGUCAACCAUGGCUGUAGAAGAACCAGGGUACAGGUAGGCACAGGUUCCUUUAUAUCCUGCUGCCUCUGUUUACCAGCUGUCUAACUCUGAGGUUCCAGUUAAUACUCAGAGCUCCAGUUUCAGUUUAUGGAGCAUGAAUGAGAGCAUUGAGGUGCUUCACAUAGGUCUGCUGCAGGGCGAUCACUCAGUCUGUGGUAGCUGCAGAGGAUGUUACCACUGCUCUACAGUGAAAAGGAAAAAAACCCAAAAGACAAAGCAGAGACUAACAGUCUCAAAGCUUUGCAGAGACUGAUGGUCUCAAGGCUGACAGUCUCAUGGCUUGCCUUUCCUGCUAGACCCACCAAGGUCACUGUGCCCGAAAGAUGAACUGCUAAAACAGCAGCUGCCUGUACCUCCCUAUGUCUUAAAGAUAAACUGUAAAAGCAAAAUUUGCCUCCACCUCCCUACCUUUUGCCAAGUUCUGCUUCUGUAAAAUUCUGCUUGCCCUGCCCAAAGAACAAGAUAAAAACGGGCUCAGACUGUGGAAAGUGACUUCUGCUGGGCCUGCUAGUGAAUAAACCCUGCCUCUCCCUACAGUUCUCUGAGUGCCGCUCUCUUCCUUGGUCUGCCUGCCCUCCAAGUGCUG